AGAUGACGCCGGCGGCGUGCCUAAUACAUGCAAGUCGAGCGAACAGAUAAGGAGCUUGCUCCUUUGACGUUAGCGGCGGACGGGUGAGUAACACGUGGGUAACCUACCUAUAAGACUGGGAUAACUUCGGGAAACCGGAGCUAAUACCGGAUAACAUUUGGAACCGCAUGGUUCUAAAGUGAAAGAUGGUUUUGCUAUCACUUAUAGAUGGACCCGCGCCGUAUUAGCUAGUUGGUAAGGUAACGGCUUACCAAGGCGACGAUACGUAGCCGACCUGAGAGGGUGAUCGGCCACACUGGAACUGAGACACGGUCCAGACUCCUACGGGAGGCAGCAGUAGGGAAUCUUCCGCAAUGGGCGAAAGCCUGACGGAGCAACGCCGCGUGAGUGAUGAAGGGUUUCGGCUCGUAAAACUCUGUUAUUAGGGAAGAACAAACGUGUAAGUAACUGUGCACGUCUUGACGGUACCUAAUCAGAAAGCCACGGCUAACUACGUGCCAGCAGCCGCGGUAAUACGUAGGUGGCAAGCGUUAUCCGGAAUUAUUGGGCGUAAAGCGCGCGUAGGCGGUUUCUUAAGUCUGAUGUGAAAGCCCACGGCUCAACCGUGGAGGGUCAUUGGAAACUGGGAAACUUGAGUGCAGAAGAGGAAAGUGGAAUUCCAUGUGUAGCGGUGAAAUGCGCAGAGAUAUGGAGGAACACCAGUGGCGAAGGCGACUUUCUGGUCUGUAACUGACGCUGAUGUGCGAAAGCGUGGGGAUCAAACAGGAUUAGAUACCCUGGUAGUCCACGCCGUAAACGAUGAGUGCUAAGUGUUAGGGGGUUUCCGCCCCUUAGUGCUGCAGCUAACGCAUUAAGCACUCC
rnacentral:rRNA from 1 species